CCUUUCGUAAAAAGAUAAAAGAGCCGUCCGAAACAUCCGCAGUAAUAGGUAUACGUUGGUAAUAGUACCUAUGUAGGUGUACCUACGUGCGCCAGAUGUGUAAUUCUGGGUCACCGACGGGCUAAACAUUAAUUAACCGCAAGCCACACGGCCAAUCAGUAUACGCGAGGCCGAUUUAAAGCGCAUAUAAACGUACUAUAUGAGUCGGAAGCCGCAUUUACCCGUACCCUACAUAUUCAGGUAGGUAGGUGCAAUUAAAUUUAAUGUGCAGUGCUCUCGGUUCGAAAACAAACGCGUUUUUAUUAGCCAAGACGAACGACGAAACAAGUACCGACAAGAACUAAAUCGCCUAUAGAUUGGUCGUAUAUCCUAAUGAAGUGUUAAACGGUUUGAACGUUUGACUAGAAUUUGUAAAUUAGCAUAAAACCCUUCGGUACCAUUGUAGGAUAGGUUUUUGAAAUUUUAUACG